rnacentral:rRNA from 1 species
CAGUAGCCGCGGUAAUACGUAGGGUGCAAGCGCUAAUCGGAAUUACUGGGCGUAAAGCGUGCGUAGGCGGUUUGUUAAGUCUGUUGUGAAAUCCCCGGGCUCAACCUGGGAAUGGCAAUGGAUACUGGCAAGCUAGAGUGUGUCAGAGGAUGGUGGAAUUCCCGGUGUAGCGGUGAAAUGCGUAGAGAUCGGGAGGAACAUCAGUGGCGAAGGCGGCCAUCUGGGACAACACUGACGCUGAGGCACGAAAGCGUGGGGAGCAAACAGGAUUAGAUACCCCGGUAGUCCCUGUCUCUUAUAC